CCACUAACAGAUACCUGAGGAGCUCGAUCACAGCAGCACUGGGGAGGAGCAACAGCUGAGCCAGAGGAUGUGUUCUCCGAACUGAAGUGAGCUGUCAGGCAGACAAUGCGAUGUAGACUUUCAUUACCGAUGGGGAGGGCGGCUGCAUCAUUCUACAAGAAGCAGAUACCAUAGCCUAUGUGCCAGUGAGGGGAUCCUCACCACUGCCUGGUGCUCUGGCGAAGAAGGACGUGAGAGAGGCAAUGGCAUCCCCAAUCGAGGAGAGCGAGCAGGGAGAAACAGCAGGAGUAUCCAAUCCCCAAUCGAGGAGCGCAAGCAGGGAGAAACAGCAGGAGUAUCCAAACCCCAAUCGAGGAGAGCAAGCAGGGAGAAACAGCAGGAGUAUCCAAUCCCCAAUCGAGGAGCGCAAGCAGGGAGAAACAGCAGGAGUAUCCAAUCCCCAAUCGAGGAGCGCAAGCAGGGAGAAACAGCAGGAGUAUCCAAUCCCCAAUCGAGGAGCGCAAGCAGGGAGAAACAGCAGGAGUAUCCAAUCCCCAAUCGAGGAGCGCAAGCAGGGAGAAACAGCAGGAGUAUCCAAUCCCCAAUCGAGGAGAGCGAGCAGGGAGAAACAGCAGGAGUAUCCAAUCCCCAAUCGAGGAGA